ACCUGCAGCCAUUAGCAUCAUGCGCUAUGACCUUUUCAGCUCUCCUAAGUUAAGCAGAGUCAUCCUUUGCUGGUACGUGGAUGGGAGACCUCCAAAGAGAACCCAAAUGCUGGAGAAA
ensembl:rRNA 5S_rRNA 5S ribosomal RNA